rnacentral:antisense_RNA from 1 species
CUUGAGCGAGCCGAUCCACACAGGCCGGUCCGCCGGACGCCCCUGCCCGUACGUCGCCAGCAACGCCUGCGCCUC